GUGCUUGUUUUGAAAGCAUACAUACUAGAAUUGGAAUCAUGCAGAGAUUAGCAUGACCCCUGCCAAGGAUGGCACACAGAUUUGUGAAGCCUUCCCUACUUUU